AAAGAAGAUUUUAUUAAUUUAAGCACUAAAAAUAGAAUCUUAUAACUUUGGAAGGGAUGUAAAUCUCCCAUACCUUUAGGAUAGUGAGAAAAAGAAAGAAAAAAAAAAGGAGGGAAGGAAGGAAGAAAGAAAGAAAGAAAGAAAAUAAAGAGGGACAGAAUGGGCUUUUUUUUUUUUUUUUUUAGAGCCGCAGGUGUGGCAUAUGGAAUUUCCCAGGCUAGGGGUCAAAUCAAAGCUACAGCUGUCAGCCUACACCACAGCCACAGCAACAUGGGAUCUGAACUGCAUCUCUGACCUACACCACAGCCCAAGGCAAUGCCGGAUCCUUAACCCACUGAGUGAGGCCAGGUAUUAAACCUGCGUCCUCAUGGAUCCUAGUUGGGUUUGUUAACUUCUGAGUCAUGAAGGGAAAUCCAGAUUGAGCUGUUUUAAAAACUUCCACCAAAGGAGUUUCCAUAAUGUCAUGGAUGUCUUGUUUAAGGAAUUCUUUCCUAUAUCUUACCUAAAAUCCAUUUGCUGUAACAAACUAUUUAUAUUUCUUACCAUUGAGCAGAACUUAGGAAGCCUCUGCUCACUUAUAUGAAACAGAGAGGACAAAGUCUUCAUAUUUAUCAUAACAUAUUAAGGGUUGGUUUGCAAUGCUCAGAAGAAUUUUAAAGAAACACAAGUAGUAAGGAUAAAUGAAUUUCAGACAUGAGGUGGGUUGCAUAGCUUGAACUAGCAUUUAGUAGCAAGCAGACAGCACCACUUUCCUACUACCUUAUCUUGUCCUCUCAGAAAAGAUGUGAAGCAAAGAUGUGAGCCAAGGCUUGAAAUGCACCUUGAAAUUUAGUUUAUGUUCCUGAGCUUUUGCCAUUGGCACAGGAAGAAUUUAAUCUACAUAUUCCAUUGAUCCAAGGUGGGUUAGAGAGACAUGGAGAUGAUACCUUUUAGCAGUUUGAAACCCAGCUGAUCUGAGCCUGACUUAGGUCAGCUGAUUCCCAGACAACCCAUAGAUGCUUAAGUAAGAAUAAUUGAUCACUGUUUUCAGCCACUUUAUUUUAGGAUAGUUUUGUCAUAGAGCAUUGCUGUGACAAGGGCUGACUGAUACAUUCUGCUUCUGUAAUGAUCAUAUCCAGCCCUUCCCAGCACUGUUACCACCAUCACUGUGGCAUUACUGUUUGGAGUGGGGGGUGCCUGCAGCACUGGUAGGACUGAUAGAUUGAGGAAGUAAGGCAGCCUCUCACCACAGAGCUGGAUUCCUGAGGGCCAUCAUGCAGAGCCAAGCCCUUCAUAGCACAUCUAGACCCUGGAAGAGAAGGAUCUGGGUCUUCCUACCUUGCACAAUGCUGUAACCACCCCCUCCUGCAAUCUCACGCUGGGGGGUGGGGGGUGGGGGGAAGCGGCGUGGCAGUCCCAGCCUCUGCCUGAAGCCCAGCUUCCGCGUUGCACCUUCUCAUCUAGAAAGCCCCUCUCUCCAUCCAUAGAUUCAGCAUCUGCCCAGCUGGUUACAGAUGAGGACAUUGGGAGCUUGAAUUUCACCAGCCAGUUUGAGUUCACCUCCUUCCUUCCUCUUUGAUUUACCCACAUCCAAGCCUUUGCAUUCAGCAUUCUUGAGGGGAACGGUGUCAUGGUAAAGAAGCUUUUUUGGAGACAGACAAGAGGACUGUCAAUAAAAUCCCUACAAAUUCAACAAUGAGUAGCCAGCCAGGCUGGAUACCAAUGGUUUUCUCUGCAUGAUGGAGUUAUGGAUGUUUUUUUUAAAAAACAAUUUAUUCUUCUUUGUGUUUUCUAAAUCCUCCAUUGUGUAUUUUUUGAAUCUGAAAAACAAUAAACUCUAACAACAACACCUGAAAAAAACAAUGGGGCAACCCCCACAGGCACAGCUUUGAAUGAAGCCCUGUGGGGUGGGGUGGGGUGAGUUGGGAGGAGGGCAGAGUGGCUGUAGCAGCAGCUACUACAGUAGAUGGUGUGUAUAGGCAAAGUUAGUGCCCAGUUCUUUUGGCUACAGCCCAGGAUUGUGGAGUUCAGUCAGUUGGCACUUGCUUCCACCCAGGAUGCUCCCAACCUUAGCUGUGCAGCUUGCAAAGGACUCCUGUUAGGAGGUAUAGGGGGACCCUAGGACCUGUGAGGGAGUAUGGCUGGCUCAGCCUAAAUCCAUCCACACUAUAGGGGUUCCCUCCUUUGUGCAAUAAAUGGGUUUUCAAAAAAGUGUGAGAAUCACAACUCCAAAUCAAAAAAACCAUUUUACAUGUACUAGGGGAGUUUCCUGAAUAAAAGGCUCCUAUUGUGAGGCCCUGGGUAAAGUGAAUAAUCCCUUUGCAUUUUAUCUUUGGCAUAAAUCUGGAUUUUCACUGAGGGUGUUUUAGGUUUCCAUGAGGACACAGAUGGCAGGUAUUCUGGAAAAGCAUAUCCUGGGACAACUGCUGAGGGUUAAUGGCCAGGGACAUCACCUCUCAUUGGAAGAACAACCUGGCCCUGGUUUAAGUCCUAGUACUGGUUUUAACAUCUUAUGUCCGUUGCAGGUCCUGCUACUCCUGCCUGGAAUGCUCCCCCUCUAAAAAUAUGGGAGUUCCCAUUGUGGCUCAGUGGUAAAGAACCUGACUAGUGAACAUGAGGAUGUGGGUUUGAUCCCUGGCCCAGCUCAGUGGGUUAAGGAUCCCAAGUUACUGUGGCUGUGGUCUAGGCCAGCAGUUGCACCUCUGAUUAGACCCCUAGCCCAGGAACUUCCAUAUGCGGGUGCAGCCCUAAAAAGACAAAAAAUAAAAAUGAAUAUGGCUCCCUCCUUCCCAUCUUUUGAGCUUGUUGUGCUCAAAUGCCACUCACCUUUUUAGAGAGGCCUUCCUCAUCCUCCCACUUAAAUUGUGACUCUUCACCACUGCCUCUUCUAUUUGCCUGCUUGAUUUUUCUUCAUGGUACUUAUCAACAUUUGUCAUUCUCUACCUUUUCCUGAUUUUGUUUACUGUUUGGGUCUCCCACUGGAUGUCAACCCUAUAGGACCAGACUGUGAGUUGUUUUUUUCACAGCUGUAUGCCUAGUGCCUGGAUUAGUACCUGGCGAAGAGUCUGUGCUUCCAUAAAGAUUUGUUGGAUAAAUGGAAUUAAUGACCUUGGGCACAUUACUUAAAUUUUCUGUGUAUCUAAAAUGUAAAUGAGUGAUGUGACAGCUGCCUGUUGGCCUGAGAACUGGGGAGACAAUAGAGGUUGGUGGAUCUGAAAACUUCCAGGAGCAGAUCCCCUUUGUCUAAAGAGGCAGCUUCUCUGCAUUACCAGCCAACUCUUGUCACAGGGUGCUGGCUCAGAAUUUCCAG
rnacentral:lncRNA from 1 species